UUUGAGGGGAAUGUUGUCUGGCUCGAGGUGCUGAGAUCGAGAGAACUUGAAAUUCGAUCUCUAGAUUGAUCUCGGACCAGGCUUCAUUCCCCUCAAG
rnacentral:pre_miRNA from 1 species